rnacentral:rRNA from 1 species
CCUACGGGGGGCAGCAGGGAAUUUUCGUCAAUGGGCGCAAGCCUGAACGAGCAAUGCCGCGUGAACGAGGAAGGUCUUCGGAUCGUAAAGUUCUGUUGAAGGGGAAAAAGAGCGGAGAGAGGAAAUGGUCUCCGAUUGAUAUUACCCUUCGAGGAAGUCACGGCUAACUACGUGCCAGCAGCCGCGGUAAUACGUAGGUGGCGAGCGUUAUCCGGAAUGAUUGGGCAUAAAGGGUGCGUAGGCGGCCUGCUAAGUCUGGAGUGAAAGGUACCGGCUCAACCGGUAUAGGCUCUGGAAACUGGCGG